AUCGCUAGUAAUCGCGAAUCAGAAUGUCGCGGUGAAUACGUUCCCGGGUCUUGUACACACCGCCCGUCACACCAUGGGAGUUGGGGGGGCCCAACGCCAGUGACCUAACCCGCAAGGGAGGGAGCUGUCUAAGGCAAAACCAAUGACUGGGGUGAAGUCGUAACAAGGUAGCCGUAUCGGAAGGUGCGGCUGGAUCACCUCCUUUCUAAGGAA
rnacentral:rRNA from 1 species